ensembl:lncRNA
ACGAGGGGAGCUGGAAGGCAGCAAAACAACAAGUGACCGUGGCUGCGUGUACGUGCAGACAGCUGCAGUGAAAAGAGUACGGCUAACGUACGGUCUCAGAAGCAGGGAGCAUCGCCGCUUUCCUCCGUCUUUCCCCCCCGUGGCAGACAUCGCUGCAGUGCGCCUGCUGUUAUGGGUUUCCUACUGCGGUGCUAUGGCAACGGGACAUGCCCAGUCAGAGCUCGUGCUCCUGUUUUGGGAUUGUGAGGAAGACAAACACAUUCGGUCUGUUUUACCUGCAAACUGCACAGGUAAGCGGACCAUGAACGUAAUAACCCUGCUAAAGGAAUCAUUACAGAGGAUGUGCGAGGCUUUAACGUGUCAAAGGUUCAAUGCAGAUGACUUAGGCUCCUUCACUCAUUUACUGUUUUUCAAGGUAGAAUAUUACAGGUCCAUAAGAUAUUGUGUGAAGUGGAAAGGAUCCAUGUGUCCCCAACGCUCCAACAGACAGCCUAGGGCCUCCAAGAAGAACACCAAGACAAGCCCCGCUCCAGAGGAAGAAGUCAUCCAGCGUCAGCUGAGAGGGCGGAGGGGGAAAGGCAGUACUGGUGACAGCCUCUGUAUCGCAGGUGAGGGAACAGGGUGCGACAUCCUCGACAUCAUUACCACUCAGGAAGAGAAGCAUGUUGGUGAAGAAGAUGGGGGAAAGGCGGUAGAGAUAGCUCAUAAAGAACUGGACGACUUGGAUGAAGACCGAGUCUCUGUUUGCAGCAGCACAGCGUCUGGUCCCUCUUUUUAUCACUCCACCUACAGAAAAGCGAGGCCUUCCCAGAACCUGUGCUUGGCCUGUCAGAAGCUCUACCAGAAAGCAAAGAAGAUAAAAACACCAAUCAUAAACAAACUGCUGGACAAUGAUCCUAUGUCCCCGACAUGUGACCAGUGGGUCCUUAUCAAAAAGCGGACAUCCCAAAGGUGGCCUGAUGCAAGAGGGAAGCUUUUGAGCCACAUAAAGAAGAUAAAGAAGGCCUGUGAGAAACAAAGUGAGCAGCGUGUGGAAGAAUCUGCCGUCUGUUCAAGGCCGCACACUUUCCUCCACAGGAACCUCAGACGAUGUGUGAAAGCGAAAAAGGAGAGGAAGAAGAAUAAGAACAGGAGGAAGAGACAGAGAGACGGUUCGCAGGGUACUCGUGCCGCUAAGCAGCAGCGUCUCCACACCAACACUCCCAUCAAGAUGACCUGUGUAGAGCCAAACAGCCGCCGAAAAAGCAGCAGUCAGGGGAACAGAGGUGUGACUGCUGAGGCGAUUCCCUCGUCUGUGACACAGGAAGCCACCACACCAAGCAAGAGAACACCAAAGCAGACGGGUAGAUUCAGAAACUUGCUGGCUGAGCUACGGAGCAAGAGCAGCAUGAUUGUAAGAGAAACACACUAGUGAGGAGGCAGGAUUCGAGUGCUAAUCGCUUUUAGUCGUGAUGUUCUGCUGGUCUUCAGUAUUGUUACCUAUUCGGUGGCCUAUGCCUAGAGUUACUUGACAAAGUGCCGUCGCAGUUCUGUGCAUGUUUUGUUUGUGAUCCUUUAAAAUUAAAAAUAAUAUUUAUUUAAUGUUCCUUACAACUGGACAGCUGUGAAUAAAUGUUUAUGUUGAUCUCA